UACUUUAUCCCAAGGGGAGAUUAUUUCCCAUUACCCAAUUUGAUUAUUGAACCCCUAAUUCAUCACUCAAAUCAGUCGACCAAAAAAGGGAUUUUUUUUUUUUUUUUGAAGUUUCAAAAGCAUAUUAGAGAAACCCCAUUUGGCUAAAAUUCAAGAAGUUGCAGCAACUGAGAUCAAGGGUGUGUUUGGGUUUCAACCACUGAGGUCGAAGCAGUCUCUCUCGGAAGUGCUGAGAAAGAACAAGUGAGCGCCGAUACUCCAAUUCCUGCACCUUCACACCAAUGGAUCACUGAAGGAACUCCAAAUGCUGCUGCCAACUGGAAUGAAUUACUUGUUGGGGAAGGACAAGCCUUUCGAGAACGCUGAUGCUUUUAGGAAGAACAAGUGAGUGCCGAUAUUCUUUGAACCCAUUUUGAAAUAAUCUGGUUGCUAUAAGUUUGAGACUUUUUUUUUUCUUGAGGAUUGAUAGGUAACUGCUUUUAACCCUUUAUAGCGAAGGUGCUUAGUUAAUCCUCGUGCUAUUGUGGCCUUUCCUAUGGAUAGCGAUUUUACUUUUCUUUCAUUAGUAACUUCCGUUAAAUUCAUUUUAUUUCUUGAUCAGGUUUUUCAUUUUCAAGAUUGUUUCCCUUCUCACAAACAAAAAAGAAAGAAAGAAAGACAAGAGUUUGUGGCCCUUUUUGGCUUUGUGGUCAUGUACUAGUUCAUGAUGGGAACUUAAGAUAACACGUGUCUUUAUUAAUAGGGUAACGAACACUUCUGAAACAUGACAAACAAUGAAAGAUAAAGGCUUAUAUUUGCAUCCCCAAUAACUUAUUAGACUUGAAACCUGCAUUUCUCAAAAAUGAAGAAUUUAGGAAGAGUUGAAUGAGAUAAUAAAUACUUGUAAAAGAAAAUAUUCAAAAAGAUUGAAAUGGAUAGAUUAUAAAACAUCGACGACCCUUUUCAUAGAAAAAUAAAAUAAUGGUUAGUCAAGGCUUCAACAAUUCACCAAAAAAGAUUGAGGAAAAUGCUUUCUAGAGACUAUAGCAUAUGUUAGUAGAUAAUAUAACAAGCAUGAUUAAAUGAAAAUGCUAAUAGCUAAGUCAAACCAAAAAAAAAGUACAUAGAUAACAAGUUGAAUACCUGGUCACACUUCAUAUAUAGGCUCCAUUCUCAAGUCUUGAGAAGAGGGGUCUUGAGUGACCCGUAUGUGUGUACGUCUUUUAUCGGGUUGUACUAGCACGCGGGUUAACUUGGGUGUGCACAUAAAGUGUUCGAUGAAAUUCCUGAACCGUGUGUUGUCUCGUAUAAUGCGAUGCUUGAUGCUUGAUGCUUGUGGGAAGAACAGGGAUAUGGGUUUGGGGUUUUCGAUGUCUUCUCACAUGCCGUAUGAUUCAUGGGUACAUGAUGAACGGAUGCUCUGAGGUUGCUGCCAAGUUUUUCGAGAAAAUGAGGGUACGCGAGGAUGUGAAGCGCGGUUUAUUGAAGCCAAAUGAGACUUCAUGGAGCUAUCGAGUUGGGAAAUGAAGUAGGACAACUAUUGCUUAAGUCGCAACCGGGUUAUUCUGGGUGAUAUGUGCAACUCUCAAACAUAUAUGCUGGGGUAGAGAGGUGGGACCAUGCUGCUGCCUUGAGAAAAGCAAUGUUAGAUGCUGGAAUACACAAGGUUCCAGCUCACAGUUUUAUUUAGUAGAGCUGAUGACUGCAGCAGCUUUUAUUUGCACAGUUAUAAAUGAGCCUGUUUGGUGAUGAAAUCUCGACUAAUCAAAAUCAGCUAAAGAAGGAGACUGCAUAUGGUUUUUGCACAGAGAUUGAAGCACUGCAUAUGGGUUUUGCGCAUAUGGGUAUGUUGUUGUUGCAGUCUUAGUAGAUAAACAUUCAUCAAUCUUUUAUUUUGAAUUGGUCUGUGAGCUCAAGCUAACAUAGCUAGACAAAUCAAGGAGAUGAUAAAUUUUCGUGAGAAUUCACGGCAAACCUGGUUCCAGAGUCUGUUUGAUGAGGUGUGAAAAGAUGGAUGAUUGUGUUGGACUUUGUUCGAAAGAUUGACACCAGAAAAUACUUGUCACCAUAGAAGAGGUGGCUUCAGAAGCAUGGUCAUUUGAUGCUGUGGUGGACGGUGCAAAUGUCGGCCCUUAUCAUUCGGUGGAAUAGGCUACACUUUAUGCCACUUGACAAGCUUCAAGUGGUGAUUAGUUUCUGUUGGCCUCUCUUUUCUCCUCUGCUAUUGCGUUUUUGUUAAGCAAGUCUUAUUUCCAUGACCUGGUGUCUUCUUAACAUUAAGAGUAACAUCAUUAUUAUCUAUCA